rnacentral:rRNA from 1 species
CACGUAGGGGGCGAGCGUUGUCCGGAAUUAUUGGGCGUAAAGAGCUCGUAGGCGGUGUGUCACGUCGGCCGUGAAAACCUGCAGCUUAACUGUGGGCGUGCGGUCGAUACGGGCAUCACUGGAGUUCGGCAGGGGAGACUGGAAUUCCUGGUGUAGCGGUGAAAUGCGCAGAUAUCAGGAGGAACACCGGUGGCGAAGGCGGGUCUCUGGGCCGAUACUGACGCUGAGGAGCGAAAGCGUGGGGAGCAAACAGG